UACGGGGGGGGCAAGCGUUGUUCGGAAUUACUGGGCGUAAGGGCUCGUAGGCGGCCAACCAAGUCGGAUGUGAAAUCCCCAGGCUUAACUUGGGAACUGCAUCCGAUACUGGAUGGCUUGAAUCCGGGAGAGGGAUGCGGAAUUCCAGGUGUAGCGGUGAAAUGCGUAGAUAUCUGGAGGAAUACCGGUGGCGAAAGCGACUCUCUGGACGGCAACUGACGCUGAGGCACGAAAGCGUGGGGAGCAAACAGG
rnacentral:rRNA from 1 species